rnacentral:rRNA from 1 species
GACGAACGCUGGCGGCGUGCUUAACACAUGCAAGUCGAACGGUGAAGCGCCUUCCUUUUUGGUUGGUGUGGAUGAGUGGCGAACGGGUGAGUAACACGUGAGUAACCUGCCCCCUUCUUCUGGAUAACCGCAUGAAAGUGUGGCUAAUACGGGAUAUUCUGGGUCUGUCGCAUGAUGGGUCUGGGAAAGAUAUUGUUUCGGUGGGGGAUGGGCUCGCGGCCUAUCAGCUUGUUGGUGGGGUGAUGGCCUACCAAGGCGGUGACGGGUAGCCGGCCUGAGAGGGUGGACGGUCACACUGGGACUGAGACACGGCCAAGACUCCUACGGGAGGCAGCAGUGGGGAAUAUUGCACAAUGGGCGCAAGCCUGAUGCAGCGACGCCGCGUGAGGGAUGGAGGCCUUCGGGUUGUGAACCUCUUUCGCCAGUGAAGCAGGCCUGCCUCGUUUGUGGGUGGGUUGACGGUAGCUGGAUAAGAAGCGCCGGCUAACUACGUG